ACGCUCGACACCUACGGGAUGCAGCAGUGGGGAAUAUUGCACAAUGGAGGAAACUCUGAUGCAGCGACGCCGCGUGAGGGAAGAAGGUCUUCGGAUUGUAAACCUCUGUUGUCAGGGACGAUGAUGACGGUACCUGACGAGGAAGCCACGGCUAACUACGCGCCAGCAGCCGCGGUAAUCUGAGCGGGCUGGCAAGGC
rnacentral:rRNA from 1 species